rnacentral:sRNA from 1 species
UAUCUGCCUCAGCCCGCACGAGGUUCUC